UACGUAGGGGGCAAGCGUUGUCCGGAAUUAUUGGGCGUAAAGAGCGUGUAGGCGGUCCGGUAAGUCAGCUGUGAAAGUCAAGGGCUCAACCCUUGAAAGCCGGUUGAUACUGUCGGGCUAGAGUCCGGGAGAGGCGAGUGGAAUUCCCGGUGUAGCGGUGAAAUGCGCAGAUAUCGGGAGGAACACCAAUGGCGAAGGCAGCUCGCUGGGACGGUACUGACGCUGAGACGCGAAAGCGUGGGGAGCAAACAGG
rnacentral:rRNA from 1 species